rnacentral:rRNA from 1 species
UGAGGAAUAUUGGGCAAUGCCCGCAAGGGUGACCCAGCAACGCCGCGUGGAGGAUGAAUGUCGUAAGAUUGUAAACUACUGUUAGAGGGGAAGAAUAGUACCGGUUGGACCGGUAUAUGACUGUACCCUCAGAGAAAGCCCCGGCUAACUACGUGCCAGCAGCCGCGGUAAUACGUAGGGGGCAAGCGUUGUCCGGAUUUACUGGGUGUAAAGGGCGCGCAGGCGGGAUAAAAAGUCAGUGGUGAAAUCCUACAGCUUAACUGUAGAACUGCCUUUGAUACUUUUAUUCUUGAGUUCGGGAGAGAGAGACGGAAUUCCAGGUGUAGUGGUGAAAUACGUAGAUAUCUGGAAGAACACCAGUUGCGAAGGCGGUCUCUUGGUCCGACACUGACGCUGAGGCGCGAAAGCGUGGGGAGCA